AAACAUCUUUGUGAAAAUGAUCCAAGAUGAACAAGUGAAAAACACCUAAUUCAGGUUGGAGAUUUCUCUGUCACACCCUCAAGGGGAGACUUAUAUUGAUGGACUUCCGAAGAUCAACUGCAGGUGACAAACUGCCAUGUCAGAUACCAUGGACAUCAACAGGUGAUAAAUACUACUGCAAAGAAUAACCCUAGAUCAGUAGUUGACAAAUUACUAUGCCUGCUUCUCCAAGAUCAACUGGUGACAAACCGCCAUGUCAGAUACCACAGACACCAACAGGUGAUACUUACUGAGUCAUUAGGUGUCAACAGUUUGGUUCUGAGGCCUGCCGAUACCUGAAGUCUCC